rnacentral:misc_RNA from 1 species
GAUGAAGAACGUAGCGAAAUGCGAUAAGUAAUGCGAAUUGCAGAAUUCAGUGAGUCAUCGAAUCUUUGAACGCACAUUGCGCCCCCUGGUAUUCCGGGGGGCAUGCCUGUCCGAGCGUCAUUGCUGCCCUCAAGCACGGCUUGUGUGUUGGGCCUCCGUCCUCCUCCCGGGGGACGGGCCCGAAAGGCAGCGGCGGCACCGCGUCCGGUCCUCGAGCGUAUGGGGCUUCGUCACCCGCUCUUGUAGGCCCGGUCGGCGCUUGCCGACACAUCAAUCUUUUUUCCAGGUUGACCUCGGAUCAGGUAGGGAUACCCGCUGAACUUAAGCAUAUCAAUAAGCGGAGGA